rnacentral:tRNA from 1 species
CUGGGAAUAGAACAACUGGCUAGUUUACUCGCUUUGGAAGCGAGAGGUUGUAGGUUCGAGUCCUGCUUCUCAGA